rnacentral:rRNA from 1 species
AGAGUUUGAUCAUGGCUCAGGACGAACGCUGGCGGCGUGCCUAAUACAUGCAAGUCGAACGCACGAAGUUGAAGAGCUUGCUCUUUAACCUAGUGAGUGGCGGACGGGUGAGUAACACGUGGGUAACCUGCCCAUUAGAGGGGGAUAACACUUGGAAACAGGUGCUAAUACCGCAUAAUUAUUUUAGCCGCAUGGCUGAGAUAUGAAAGACGCUUUCGGGUGUCACUAAUGGAUGGACCCGCGCUGCAUUAGUUAGUUGGUGAGGUAAUGGCUCACCAAGACCGUGAUGCAUAGCCGACCUGAGAGGGUGAUCGGCCACACUGGGACUGAGACACGGCCCAGACUCCUACGGGAGGCAGCAGUAGGGAAUCUUCGGCAAUGGACGAAAGUCUGACCGAGCAACGCCGCGUGAGUGAAGAAGGUUUUCGGAUCGUAAAACUCUGUUGUUAGAGAAGAACAAGUGGGAGAGUAACUGUUCCCACCUUGACGGUAUCUAACCAGAAAGCCACGGCUAACUACGUGCCAGCAGCCGCGGUAAU